UAAAAGAUCAAUCCCACCUAUUUUUAUUGGUACCUUUACCUUUAAUUCUGUAAUAUAUAGCUGUCCAUCAAAAUUCCUGUAUUCAUAUGGUUCUAUCUUGUAAGUCAUUAAUCCUUCAUUUUUAUUUGCAGCCAUAUAACAUUCACCAGCUCCUGUGUCUAUCAAUAUAUUUGGUCCUUUUAUAUAUCUUCUACCAUUGAAAUAUUCUCCUUCUAUUUUCAUAUUUCCAAUAUUCCCAUAAGGUUUUAUUUCCUUUAUACCACUA
rnacentral:lncRNA from 1 species